rnacentral:tRNA from 1 species
AAGAGUAUGGCUCAGAGGUACAGUAUGUGUCUAGCAUGCACAGGGUCCUGGGUUCAAUCCCCAAUACUUCCA